rnacentral:rRNA from 1 species
GGUUUCCGUAGGUGAACCUGCGGAAGGAUCAUUACCGAUGUAAUCCAAAUGCACGACUCCGUCGUGACUACCGUGUGAACCGUACCAAACUAUUCAGGGGUCGGCUGGUCCGUUAAAUGGCGGUCGGAGGCGUCUAGUGCGCGGCCGCUCCGCCAGCCCCGCCUGUGUUUUUUUAACAUACGUGUCUUGUCUGAAAACCUGACCACUGCCGUGGUCUAGAGCAAAUCAAAAGAGAGACAACUUUUGACGGUGGAUCUCUUGGCUCACGCAUCGAUGAAGAACGCAGCCAGCUGCGAUAAGUAGUGUGAAUUGCAGAAUUCAGUGAAUCAUCGAAUCUUUGAACGCAAAUGGCGCUCUUGGGUUCUCCCAGGAGCAUGUCUGUCUGAGUGUCGGAUAUCAUCCAACGCACCUAGUCGUGCGGCGUUGAGGCGUCACGGCCCCUCUUGCGUGCGGCCGUGUCCCUUGAAAGUUAGCGAGACUCGCCGCGGCACGGGUUCGUUCCCUGCACACUCGCGGAGGCUAAAAACGCUUUUGCCCUUCGCGUGCAGGGCAGCGGCCCGCCCGCCGAGUCGCGGAGGCCAACCAUUUUCAACUCUUGACCUCAGAUCAGG